GAGAAAAAUGCUAAAAGUGAUUUGAGCAGUGACUAAAGAACAAACCUAGGGCAAACUGGAAUGAUGUAUAAUAAGCCAAAACCUAAGCCCACUCCUAAAGUGAAGUAAAAUAGUGUCUAAGCAGCCAAUGUAUAGAAUGAUCUGGCAUUGUCAGUCCAAAUGACACCAAGAGUGAACGUACAUUGUGUAGAAUGCAACAAGGUCUAGACUGAGUAAAGAGACAAAGAC